GACGAACGCUGGUGGCGUGCUUAACACAUGCAAGUCGAACGGGAUUUAGUAAACAGAAGCCUCGGUGGAAGAUUACUAAUGAGAGUGGCGAACGGGUGAGUAACGCGUGAGCAACCUGCCUAUGACAGUGGGAUAGCCUCGGGAAACCGGGAUUAAUACCGCAUAAAAUCGUAGAAACACAUGUUUUAACGGUCAAAGAUUUAUCGGUCAUAGAUGGGCUCGCGUCUGAUUAGCUAGUUGGUGAGAUAACAGCCCACCAAGGCGACGAUCAGUAGCCGGUCUGAGAGGAUGAACGGCCACAUUGGAACUGAGACACGGUCCAAACUCCUACGGGAGGCAGCAGUGGGGAAUAUUGCACAAUGGGGGAAACCCUGAUGCAGCGACGCCGCGUGAACGAAGAAGGUAUUCGUAUCGUAAAGUUCUGUCCUAUGGGAAGAUAACGACAGUACCAUAGAAGAAAGCUCCGGCUAAAUACGU
rnacentral:rRNA from 1 species